AUGGAUAAAGCUCAAACAAAAACGAAGGAAAAGAAGGUUACCGGAUCGGAGUCUCUCAGACGGAGCAUCGAAAAAUUGUACAUUGUUAUUAGUGUUGCGAGGACCGAUGGUGAUGAUGCGGUUGGAGCGGUGUUUGAAGUAGAUGGAUGGGAAAUUCAGAUGGUUACGGAAGUUAACGGAGGGGGUAGGGUAUGGGGAUUAUUGAAAUAUAGGUGA